AAUCAUUCACAAUGGGCGGAAGCCUGAUGAUGCAAUGCCGCGUGGGGGAUGACGGUCUUCGGAUUGUAAACCCCUGUCACCAAGGACUAAACGACGGUGAAGAGCCGUCCUGAAUUAACUUGGAGAGGAAGCAGUGGCUAACUCCGUGCCAGCAGCCGCGGUAAUACGGAGACUGCGAGCGUUACUCGGAUUCACUGGGCGUAAAGGGUGCGCAGGCGGCCAGGUGUGUCAGAUGUGAAAGCCUACGGCUCAACCGUAGAACUGCAUUUGAAACUACUUGGCUAGAGUAUCGGAGAGGUAAGCGGAAUUCCUAGUGUAGCGGUGAAAUGCGUAGAUAUUAGGAGGAACACCAAAGGCGAAGGCAGCUUACUGGACGAUUACUGACGCUCAGGCACGAAAGCGUGGGGAGCGAAAGGGAUUAGAUACCCCUGUAGUCCACGCCGUA
rnacentral:rRNA from 1 species